rnacentral:rRNA from 1 species
AAUCAACGCUGGCGGCGUGCCUCAGACAUGCAAGUCGAACGAGAAAGUCCCCUUCGGGGGAUAAGUAAAGUGGCGCACGGGUGAGUAACACGUAGGUAAUCUACCUUCGGGUGGGGAAUAACCCAGGGAAACUUGGGCUAACACCGCAUAAUGCAGCGGCACCACAUGGUGACAGUUGUUAAAGCGGGGGAUUUUAGGACCUCGCGCCUGAAGAGGAGCCUGCGGCGGAUUAGCUAGUUGGGAGGUAACGGCUCACCAAGGUAACGAUCCGUAGCCGGCCUGAGAGGGCGGUCGGCCACACUGACACUGACAUACGGGUCAGACUCCUACGGGAGGCAGCAGUCGGGAAUUUUGGGCAAUGGGCGAAAGCCUGACCCAGCAACGCCGCGUGAACGGAUGAAAUCCCUCGGGAUGUAAACUUCGCAAGAAUGGGAAGAAUUAGUAGGGGUUAAUACCCCCUAUGAUGACGGUACCAUUUGUAGCUCCGGCUAACUCCGUGCCAGCCGCCGCGGU